rnacentral:rRNA from 1 species
GGGCCCGCACAAGCGGAGGAACAUGUGGUUUAAUUCGAUGAUACGCGAGGAACCUUACCCGGGCUUGAAAUGGAGUGGAAUAUAUUGGAAACAGUGUAGUCAGCAAUGACCACUUUGUAGGUGCUGCAUGGUUGUCGUCAGCUCGUGCCGUGAGGUGUCGGCUUAAGUGCCAUAACGAGCGCAACCCUUGCCAUUAGUUACCAGCGUGAAAGACGGGGACUCUAAUGGGACUGCCACCGUAAGGUGUGAGGAAGGUGGGGAUGACGUCAAAUCAGCACGGCCCUUACGUCCGGGGCGACACACGUGUUACAAUGGGUUGUACAGAGGGUUGCGACACCGCGAGGUGAAGCUAAUCCCAUAAAACAAUUCUCAGUUCGGAUUGGAGUCUGCAACUCGACUCCAUGAAGCUGGAUUCGCUAGUAAUCGCGCAUCAGCCAUGGCG